rnacentral:rRNA from 1 species
UCUCCACCCGAGACUCAGUGAAAUUGAACUCGCUGUGAAGAUGCAGUGUACCCGCGGCAAGACGGAAAGACCCCGUGAACCUUUACUAUAGCUUGACACUGAACAUUGAGCCUUGAUGUGUAGGAUAGGUGGGAGGCUUUGAAGCGUGGACGCCAGUCUGCGUGGAGCCGACCUUGAAAUACCACCCUUUAAUGUUUGAUGUUCUAACGUGGAUCCGUAAUCCGGGUUGCGGACAGUGUCUGGUGGGUAGUUUGACUGGGGCGGUCUCCUCCUAAAGAGUAACGGAGGAGCACGAAGGUUGGCUAAUCCUGGUCGGACAUCAGGAGGUUAGUGCAAUGGCAUAAGCCAGCUUGACUGCGAGCGUGACGGCGCGAGCAGGUGCGAAAGCAGGUCAUAGUGAUCCGGUGGUUCUGAAUGGAAGGGCCAUCGCUCAACGGAUAAAAGGUACUCCGGGGAUAACAGGCUGAUACCGCCCAAGAGUUCAUAUCGACGGCGGUGUUUGGCACCUCGAUGUCGGCUCAUCACAUCCUGGGGCUGAAGUAGGUCCCAAGGGUAUGGCUGUUCGCCAUUUAAAGUGGUACGCGAGCUGGGUUUAGAACGUCGUGAGACAGUUCGGUCCCUAUCUGCCGUGGGCGCUGGAGAACUGAGGGGGGCUGCUCCUAGUACGAGAGGACCGGAGUGGACGCAUCACUGGUGUUCGGGUUGUCAUGCCAAUGGCACUGCCCGGUAGCUAAAUGCGGAAGAGAUAAGUGCUGAAAGCAUCUAAGCACGAAACUUGCCCCGA